rnacentral:lncRNA from 1 species
GUAGGACAAUGUGAAUUUUCUCAAUAUAUUCAAAUGAGAAAUUAUUUGUUUUGUGGGCGCUCCUCGUUACUUAUCAAAUUUGUAUGAAACCAAGAGAGAGAAACUCAUCGCUGUAUUUGCGUUUCAUGACGAUUGAGCUCAUCCAAAACUUGUGGCUAGCUUGAGUCCAUUUGAUGACAGUGGUGAGUGAUGGUGAGUGGGAAUGACAAGUCAAUGGCUGACAGCGCAUCAUCUGCUGCUGAACGACAGUGCUGCAGCGUGUGGGUCGUGGAGAGAUCUUCAAGUAAACUGAGAAAAAAAUAUCUGGUAAACUGUGAAGGACACGGGGAUCUCACACUUGCGCAACUGCCAAACUGAGCAGAGUACACUGCUAAGCAGAGAGUGCACUUAACAUUGAGCGCAGUUGGCCAAAUCAAUUCCAGUAAUCAAUUAUAUAAUUAUACAUUUACUCUGACACGUUGCGACCCAGCAUUAACAAGUGGGUCGCGAUCCAUACUUUAAGAAAGGAUGAUCUAGAGGAUGAUCUAAAUCGAGGCAAAGAGAGCGAGAGAGAGCAUAGCCUUGCUAUUGAGAUGCUGCUGAAGGCAGACCUGGCUCUCAAGAGAAGACAGGCUAUGUGCACACUGCCCACAAAAGGAGGUGCAAAGUGAGCUGCACGUCCUAACCUGCCAGAUGUAUGCCCAUAUUAGAGACACAUUUUUCCCUCAGAUUACACAAACCCAC